rnacentral:rRNA from 1 species
UACGUAGGGUGCAAGCGUUAAUCGGAAUUACUGGGCGUAAAGCGUGCGCAGGCGGUUGUGCAAGUCAGAUGUGAAAUCCCCGGGCUCAACCUGGGAACUGCAUUUGUGACUGCACGGCUGGAGUGCGGCAGAGGGGGAUGGAAUUCCGCGUGUAGCAGUGAAAUGCGUAGAGAUGUGGAGGAACACCGAUGGCGAAGGCAGCCCCCUGGGUUAACACUGACGCUCAGGCACGAAAGCGUGGGGAGCAAACAGG